rnacentral:rRNA from 1 species
AUUGAACGCUGGCGGCAUGCCUUACACAUGCAAGUCGAACGGUAACAGGUCUUCGGAUGCUGACGAGUGGCGAACGGGUGAGUAAUACAUCGGAACGUGCCUAGUAGUGGGGGAUAACUACUCGAAAGAGUGGCUAAUACCGCAUGAGAUCUACGGAUGAAAGCAGGGGAUCGCAAGACCUUGUGCUACUAGAGCGGCCGAUGGCAGAUUAGGUAGUUGGUGGGAUAAAAGCUUACCAAGCCGACGAUCUGUAGCUGGUCUGAGAGGACGAUCGGCCACACUGGGACUGAGAAACGGCGCAGACUCCUACGGGAGGCAGAAGUGGGGAAUUUUGGACAAUGGGCGCAAGCCUGAUACAGCAAUGCCGCGUGAAGGAUGAAGGCCUUCGGGUUGUAAACUGCUUUUGUACGGAACGAAAAGCCCCGGGUUAAUACCCUGGGGUCAUGACGGUACCGUAAGAAUAAGCACCGGCUAACUACGUGCCAGCAGCCGCAGUAA